ACCUAGGUAGUUUAUAAAAAUACUACGUUGUGGUUGUAGAGAUGUGGUUACUCUGGGUA
rnacentral:tRNA from 1 species